CAAGCAGCCGCGUAAUCCGAGGAGCAAGGUAUCGGAUAUGGCGUAGGUCCGUAAGUGCCGAUCAAGUCGCUGUCAAGCGUGGAGCUCACUCAUCAGCCAGUGAACUGAUGCUAGAGUCGUAGGGUAGCGGGACUCCCCAGUGUAGCGUGAAUGCGUAGAGAUUGGGAAGAACAUCGGUGGCGAAAGCGCGCUACUGGGCCGGAACUGACACUGAGGGACGAAAGCUAGGGGAGCGAAAGGGAUUAGAUACCCCUGUAGUCCUAGCCGUAAACGAUGGAAACUAGGCGUGGCUUGUAUCGACCCGAGCCGUGCCGAAGCUAACGCGUUAAGUUUCCCGCCUGGGGAGUACGCACGCAAGUGUGAAACUCAAAGGAAUUGACGGGGGCCCGCACAAGCGGUGGAGUAUGUGGUUUAAUUCGAUGCAACGCGAAGAACCUUACCAGGACUUGACAUGUCGCGAAUCUCGGUGAAAGCUGAGAGUGCCUUCGGGAGCGCGAACACAGGUGCUGCAUGGCUGUCGUCAGCUCGUGUCGUGAGAUGUUGGGUUAAGUCCCGCAACGAGCGCAACCCUCGUUCUUAGUUGCCAGCAUUCAGUUGGGCACUCUAGGGAGACUGCCGGUGACAAACCGGAGGAAGGUGAGGAUGACGUCAAGUCAGCAUGGCCCUUACGUCCUGGGCGACACACGUACUACAAUGGUAGGGACAAAGGGCAGCGACCCCGCGAGGGUAAGCGAAUCUCAUCAAACCCUGCCUCAGUUCAGAUUGCAGGCUGCAACUCGCCUGCAUGAAGGAGGAAUCGCUAGUAAUCGCCGGUCAGUAUACGGCGGUGAAUCCGUUCCCGGGCCUUGUACACACCGCCCGUCACACCAUGGGAGCUGGCCACGCCCGAAGUCGUUACUCCAACCCCUCGUGGGAGGAGGAUGCCGAAGGCAGGGCUAGUGACUGGGGUGAAGUCGUAACAAGGUAGCCGUACCGGAAGGUGUGGCUGGAUCACCUCCUUUAGAGGGAGACCUACUGCUGAAAAAACCGAAACCCAAAAUAACUAGGUUAAUCAGUAGUCAUCCCAAGGUCGUGCAAGGGAAAUCUGGCAGGCUUUCAAACUAUUAAGUCGGUUCGGUUGACAUAGCGAACCAGACAUGGGCUAUUAGCUCAGGUGGUUAG
rnacentral:sRNA from 1 species